AGAGUUUGAUCCUGGCUCAGGACGAACGCUGGCGGCACGCUUAACACAUGCAAGUCGAACGAGAGAAGAGGAGCUUGCUUUUCUGAUCUAGUGGCGGACGGGUGAGUAACACGUGAGCAAUCUGCCUUUCAGAGGGGGAUACCGAUUGGAAACGAUCGUUAAUACCGCAUAACAUAAUUGAACCGCAUGAUUUGAUUAUCAAAGAUUUAUCGCUGAAAGAUGAGCUCGCGUCUGAUUAGCUAGUUGGUAAGGUAACGGCUUACCAAGGCGACGAUCAGUAGCCGGACUGAGAGGUUGAUCGGCCACAUUGGGACUGAGACACGGCCCAGACUCCUACGGGAGGCAGCAGUGGGGAAUAUUGCACAAUGGAGGAAACUCUGAUGCAGCGAUGCCGCGUGAGGGAAGAAGGUUUUAGGAUUGUAAACCUCUGUCUUCAGGGACGAAAAAAGACGGUACCUGAGGAGGAAGCUCCGGCUAACUACGUGCCAGCAGCCGCGGUAAUACGUAGGGAGCGAGCGUUGUCCGGAAUUACUGGGUGUAAAGGGAGCGUAGGCGGGAUCGCAAGUCAGAUGUGAAAACUAUGGGCUUAACCCAUAAACUGCAUUUGAAACUGUGGUUCUUGAGUGAAGUAGAGGUAAGCGGAAUUCCUAGUGUAGCGGUGAAAUGCGUAGAUAUUAGGAGGAACAUCAGUGGCGAAGGCGGCUUACUGGGCUUUAACUGACGCUGAGGCUCGAAAGCGUGGGGAGCAAACAGGAUUAGAUACCCUGGUAGUCCACGCCGUAAACGAUGAUUACUAGGUGUGGGGGGACUGACCCCUUCCGUGCCGCAGCAAACGCAAUAAGUAAUCCACCUGGGGAGUACGACCGCAAGGUUGAAACUCAAAGGAAUUGACGGGGGCCCGCACAAGCAGUGGAGUAUGUGGAUUAAUUCGAAGCAACGCGAAGAACCUUACCAGGUCUUGACAUCGUAUGCAUAGCUCAGAGAUGAGUGAAAUCUCUUCGGAGACAUAUAGACAGGUGGUGCAUGGUUGUCGUCAGCUCGUGUCUUGAGAUGUUGGGUUAAGUCCCGCAACGAGCGCAACCCUUACUGUUAGUUGCUACGCAAGAGCACUCUAGCAGGACUGCCGUUGACAAAACGGAGGAAGGUGGGGAUGACGUCAAAUCAUCAUGCCCCUUAUGACCUGGGCCUCACACGUACUACAAUGGCUGUCAACAGAGGGAAGCAAAGCCGCGAGGUGGAGCGAACCCCUAAAAGCAGUCUUAGUUCGGAUUGUAGGCUGCAACCCGCCUACAUGAAGUCGGAAUUGCUAGUGAUCGCAGAUCAGCAUGCUGCGGUGAAUACGUUCCCGGGCCUUGUACACACCGCCCGUCACGCCAUGGGAGUCGGUA
rnacentral:rRNA from 1 species